rnacentral:rRNA from 1 species
UUCGUAGGCGGCGAAGUAAGUUUGAUGUGAAAUCUCCAGGCUCAACCUGGAAACUGCAUUGGAUACUGCUUGGCUAGAGUACUGGAGAGGUAAGCGGAAUUCCUGGUGUAGCGGUGGAAUGCGUAGAUAUCAGGAGGAACACCGACGGCGAAGGCAGCUUACUGGACAGACACUGACGCUGAUGAACGAAAGCUAGGGUAGCAAACA